AAUGAACGCUGGCGGCGUGGUUAAGACAUGCAAGUCGAACGGUGCUUCAAAUGUAGCAAUACAGUUGAAACGCAGUGGCGAACGGGUGCGUAACACGUGAACAAUUUACCUUUUAGUGUGGAAUAGCUCGACGAAAGUCGGAUUAAUACCGCAUGUGGUUGUCUCUCGCCUGAGAGGCAUACUAAAGCCGGGGACCGCAAGGCCUGGCGCUAUUAGAGGAGUUCGCGGCCUAUCAGCUAGUUGGCGAGGUAACGGCUCACCAAGGCUAAGACGGGUAGCUGGUCUGAGAGGAUGAUCAGCCACACUGGAGCUGAGACACGGUCCAGACACC
rnacentral:rRNA from 1 species